rnacentral:rRNA from 1 species
UACGGAGGGUGCGAGCGUUGUCCGGAAUCACUGGGCGUAAAGGGCGCGUAGGUGGCGCGGGCAGUCAACGGUGAAAGUUCGGGGCUCAACCCUGAAUCGGCCGUCGAUACUCCCGGGCUUGAGCACUGUAGAGGAAAGUGGAAUUUCCGGUGUAGCGGUGAAAUGCGUAGAGAUCGGAAAGAACACCAACGGCGAAAGCACUCUGCUGGGCCGACACUGACACUGAGAGACGAAAGCUAGGGGAGCGAAUGGG